rnacentral:rRNA from 1 species
GUCCACGCGGUAACGAUGGGCACUAGGUGUGGGUAUCCACUCCUCCCGUGCCGAAGCUAACGCAUUAAGUGCCCGCCUGGGAGUACGGCCGCAAGGUUAAACUCAAAGGAAUUGACGGGCCCGCACAAGCGGUGGAGCAUGUGGUUUAAUUCGACGCAACGCGAAGAACCUUACCUGGGCUUGACAUCCCGGGAACCUCCUGGAAACAGGGGUGCCCCCGAAAGGGGAGCCCGGAGACAGGUGCUGCAUGGCUGUCGU